rnacentral:rRNA from 1 species
UCUAGAAGCUUCGGCAAUGGGCGAAAGCCUGACCGAGCGACGCCGCGUGCAGGACGAAGGUCUUCGGAUUGUAAACUGCUUUCGACGGGGAUGAAAGGUAAGAGGGCGAAUACCCCCCUUAUUUGACAGUACCCGCAGAAGAAGCCCUGGCUAACUCCGUGCCAGCAGCCGCGGUAAUACGGAGAGGGCAAGCGUUGUUCGGAUUUAUUGGGCGUAAAGCGCGCGUAGGUGGCAUGGUAAGUCGGAUGUUAAAGACCCACGGCUCACCCGGGGGAAUGCGUCCGAUACUGCCGUGCUAGAGUGCGGGAGAGGAAAGUGGAAUUCCUGGUGUAGCGGUGAAAUGCGUAGAUAUCAGGAGGAACACCGGUGGCGAAGGCGGCUUUCUGGCCCGUAACUGACACUGAGGCGCGAAAGCGUGGGGAGCGAACG